rnacentral:sRNA from 1 species
GUGGCACGAUCUCAGCUUACUGCAAGCUCUGCCUCCCGGGUUCACACCAUUCUCCUGCCUCAGCCUCCCGAGUAGCCGGGACUACAGGUGCCCGCCACCAUGUGCCCGGCUAAUUUUUUUUGUAUUUUUAGUAGAGACGAGUUUCACUGUAUUAGCCAGGAUGGUCAUGUUUUUGUUCUUGUUUUUGUUUUAGAGACAGGGUCUCCCUCUGUCACCCAGGCUGGAGUGCAGUGGCACAAUCACGGCUCACUACAGCGUCAGCCUUCCAGGUUGAGGAUCACUCGAUACUCAUGCCUCAGCCUCCCAUGUAGCUGGGGCCACAGGUGCACACCACCACGCCUGACUCAUUUUUUAAAAAAUUUUUUGUAUAGGUGGGGUCUCACCAUGUUGCCCAGGCUAGCCUCGAACUCCUGGGCUCAAGCAAUCCUCUCACCUUGGCCUCCCAAAGUGCUGAGAUUAUAGGUGUGACCCGCCAUGCCCGCCUUUCCUCUGAGUUUUGUUGCAUUCGGGCAGCUCCUGGCUGAGGCAAAACAUUAAAAUGCAUAUGGAAAUGCAGGCUGGGAAAAUGCUUUGAAACCAAUGCAAUUUCUAUGUUAAGGGGACGUUCCCUGAUUCUUUCAGGUAAUUUGCAUUCUAGACUGUAACAUUCUGUACCUCAACUGAUAAAUAAGCCUGUUUGUCAUCCUGCUAGAUGAGAACCUGAUAUAUGAAACCUUUUUUUUUAAUCGUGGUUAAAAAAAACAUAAAAUUUACCAUCAUAAUUAUUUUUAAAUGUACCAUUUGGCAGCAUUAAGUAUAUUUAAACUCUUGUGAAACAAAUUUCUAGAAUGUUUUCAUCUUGCAAAACCGAAACUCUGUACCCAUUAAACAACUCCCCUUUUCUCCCUCUCUUCAACCCUGGUAACCACCAUUCCUUCCUGUUUUUAUGAAUUUGACUACUUUAGAUACCUCAUAUAAGUCAGGUCAUACAGUAUUUGUCUCUUUGUGACUGGCUUCACUUAGCAUAAUGUCCUCAAAGUUUAACUAUGUUGUAGCAUGUAUCAGAAUUUUAUGAAACAUGAAGUCUUAAACACCCCAAAGUACAUUUUCACCCCAAAUGUAUUUGAACAGUGUUACGCUGGGGGUGGGAGGUGGGAGUCCUUCUUGCUUUGCCUGUGCAAUGAAAUGAAUACCCUGCUGUGUUUAUCUCCUUGUCAUGUGAUUCUCCCAGGUUGUUUCUUCAAGUUUCUGAGCCAAACUUAACUCUAAAAAGCAAAUAUUCUGUGUUAAAAGACAGUAAUCAACACGGGAGCUACAUCAGACAUCAUAGGACAAAUUGUCAUCUAGAAGAGUAUAUUUUUAAUGCAGGAGAGUUUUUAAAACCCAGAUUGGUGUGAUUUCAUUCCAGAGAGCUCAGAAAUAUGCUCAGCAAGUCUUGCAGAAGGAAUGUCGUCCCAAGUUUGCCAAGACAUCAAUGGCACUGUUAUUUGAGCACAGGUAUAGCGUGGACUUACUCCCUUUUGUGCGGAAGGCCCCCAAAGACAGUGAAGCUGAGUCCAAGUACGAUCCUCCUUUUGGGUUCCGGAAGUUCUCCAGUAAAGUCCAGAACCUCUUGGAGCUCUUGCCAGAGCACGACCUCCCUGAACACUUGAAAGCCAAGACCUGUCGGCGCUGUGUGGUUAUUGGAAGCGGAGGAAUACUGCACGGAUUAGAACUGGGCCACACCCUGAACCAGUUCGAUGUUGUGAUAAGAACUCAGUGCACUGCUCUUAGUCAGUGUGGCUCCAGGAACAGUGAGGGACGCAGGAAGCUCUUCACAGUCCCUGCCCUCAAGGGACUUACUGUUUGAGAAGUUGAAACAAAAACACAAAAUGGUUGGAUGCUCCAAACUGUCGUACUGACCCUAAGUUGGAGGAGCAUGCUGCCGGUACAGUUAAACAGUGCACCAGUUGAGGGAUAUUCAGAACAUGUUGGAAAUAAAACUACUAUAAGGAUGACUUAUCCAGAGGGCGCACCACUGUCCGACCUUGAAUAUUAUUCCAAUGACUUGUUUGUUGCUGUUUUAUUUAAGAGUGUUGAUUUCAACUGGCUUCAAGCAAUGGUAAAAAAUGAAACCCUGCCGUUCUGGGUACGACUCUUCUUUUGGAAGCAGGUGGCAGAAAAAAUCCCACUGCAGCCAAAACAUUUCAGGAUUUUGAAUCCAGUUAUCAUCAAAGAGACUGCCUUUGACAUCCUUCAGUACUCAGAGCCUCAGUCAAGGUUCUGGGGCCGAGAUAAGAACGUCCCCACAAUCGGUGUCAUUGCCGUUGUCUUAGCCACACACCUGUGCGAUGAAGUCAGUUUGGCAGGUUUUGGAUAUGACCUCAAUCAACCCAGAACACCUUUGCACUACUUCGACAAUCAGUGCAUGGCUGCUAUGAACUUUCAGACCAUGCAUAAUGUGACAACGGAAACCAAGUUCCUCUUAAAGCUGGUCAAAGAGGGAGUGGUGAAAGACCUCAGCGGAGGCAUUCAUUGUGAAUUUUGAACACAGAAAACCUCAGUUGAAAAUGCAACUCUAACUCUGAGGGCUGUUUUUGACAGCCUUCUUGAUGUAUUUCUCCAUCCUGCAAAUACUUUGAAGUGCAGCUGAUGUUUUUAACUUUUAAUUUAAAAACACAAAAAAAAUUUUAGCUCUUCCCACUUUUUUUUCCUAUUUAUUUGAGGUCAGUGUUUGUUUUUGCACACCAUUUUGUAAAUGAAACUUAAGAAUUGGAAAGACUUCUCAAAGAGAAUUGUAUGUAAUGAUGUUGUAUUGAUUUUUAAGAAAGUAAUUUAAUUUGUAAAACUUCUGUUCGUUUACACUGCACAUUGAAUACAGAUAACUAAUUGGAAGGAGAGGGGAGGUCACUCUUUUGAUGGUGGCCCUGAGCCUCAUUCUGGUUCCCUGCUGGGCUGCUUGGUGUGACCCACGGAGGAUCCACUCCCAGGAUGACGUGCUCCAUAGCUAUGCUGCUGAAACGGUCUGCAACGCAGCGGCGUGAGGCCUGGGCUGGUCGGAGAAGGUCACAGCCCUUCUCUGUUGGUCUGCCUUCUGUCGAAAGACUCGAGAACCAACCAGGGAAGCUGUCCUGGAGGUCCCUGGUCGGGGAGGGACAUAGAAUCUGUGUCCUCUGACAACUGUGAAACCACCCUGGGCUGCAGAAACCACAGUCUUCCCAGCAAUUAUUACAAUUCUUGAAUUCCUUGGGGAUUUUUUACUGCUCUUUCAAAGCACUUAAGUGUUAGAUCUAACAUGUUCCAGUGUCUGUCUGAGGUGACUUAAAAAAUCAGAACAAAACUAUUAUCCAGAGUCAUGGGAGAGUACACCCUUUCCAGGAAUAAUGUUUUGGGAAAUACUGAAAUGAAAUCUUCCCAGUAUUAUAAAUUGUGUAUUUAAAAAAAAGAAACUUUUCUGAAUGCCUACCUGGCGGUGUAUACCAGGCAGUGUGCCAGUUUAAAAAGAUGAAAAAGAAUAAAAACUUUUGAGGAG